GGACGAACGCUGGCGGCGUGCCUAAUACAUGGCAAGUCGAACGGUCUUUCUAUGGAAGCUUGCUUCCACUGAGAAGAUAGUGGCGAACGGGUGAGUAACACGUGGGUAACCUGCCCAUAAGAGGGGGGAUAACAUCCGGAAACGGGUGCUAAUACCGCAUAGUUUUCUUGGUCGCAUGAUCGGGAAAGGAAAGACGGCCUUUGUGCUGUCGCUUAUGGAUGGACCCGCGGCGUAUUAGUUAGUUGGUGAGGUAACGGCUCACCAAGACGAUGAUACGUAGCCGACCUGAGAGGGUGAUCGGCCACAUUGGGACUGAGACACGGUCCAAACUCCUACGGGAGGCAGCAGUAGGGAAUCUUCCGCAAUGGACGAAAGUCUGACGGAGCAACGCCGCGUGAGUGAAAGAAGGUUUUCGGAUCGUAAAACUCUGUUGUCAGAGAAGAACAAGUUGGAGAGUAACUGCUCCAGCCUUGACGGUAUCUGACCAGAAAGCCACGGCUAACUACGUGCCAGCCGCCGC
rnacentral:rRNA from 1 species